GGGCAACCUGCCUGUAAGACUGGGAUAACUUCGGGAAACCGAAGCUAAUACCGGAUAGGAUCUUCUCCUUCAUGGGAGAUGAUUGAAAGAUGGUUUCGGCUAUCACUUACAGAUGGGCCCGCGGUGCAUUAGCUAGUUGGUGAGGUAACGGCUCACCAAGGCAACGAUGCAUAGCCGACCUGAGAGGGUGAUCGGCCACACUGGGACUGAGACACGGCCCAGACUCCUACGGGAGGCAGCAGUAGGGAAUCUUCCGCAAUGGACGAAAGUCUGACGGAGCAACGCCGCGUGAGUGAUGAAGGCUUUCGGGUCGUAAAACUCUGUUGUUAGGGAAGAACAAGUACAAGAGUAACUGCUUGUACCUUGACGGUACCUAACCAGAAAGCCACGGCUAACUACGUGCCAGCAGCCGCGGUAAUACGUAGGUGGCAAGCGUUAUCCGGAAUUAUUGGGCGUAAAGCGCGCGCAGGCGGUUUCUUAAGUCUGAUGUGAAAGCCCACGGCUCAACCGUGGAGGGUCAUUGGAAACUGGGGAACUUGAGUGCAGAAGAGAAAAGCGGAAUUCCACGUGUAGCGGUGAAAUGCGUAGAGAUGUGGAGGAA
rnacentral:rRNA from 1 species